UCUUUUGGAUGGAAACGACAAAAAGGCCCAUAGGCAGGCAGUGAGUUGUGUGAGGGGAGAGGGGGGAGAGCUAAAAAUUCCACCGCUCCAAGAGCGGAAACCGUGCACGGCGAUGGGCGGCGUUCGAGGGGUUCUCUUGGACGAAUCGCUCCUCUUCUCCGAUGCCGGAAGCGGUAAUUUCUACCUCCCUCCGGGAUCCGCAACUCUUCUUCGUAGGCUUCAGUACUCGAAGCUUCGCGUGGGUUUUUGUUACCAAAAGGAUCUAUCACCACAAAAGGAAAUCUUUCUUAAACAGACAGCCGGAUCAUACUCCUUUGAUUGUAUCUCAUUGCAUGGAUCACAUGCAAGGAAUUCAUUUAAUGAGUCAUUGCCAGACUGGCAUGCAGCUGGAGAGAUAUGCUUUUACGUAACUUCCAGAAAAGAUGAAACACUUUUCUGCAAGCUUCAGAAUCAUGGUUGGAGGAUUAUUUGUAUUGGUGUUGAAAGGGGUGGGACAAUGGAUAAGGAGUUGUUGUUUAUUGACAAGUUGGAAGAGUUGCCAAUUACUAUUUGCAGCUUCAGCAAGAAGGUGAUGCGCUGCACACCAGUCCUGAUGGUUGGCUAUGUUAUGAAACCAUCUCGUGAAGAAGAUUUUGCAAAGAGAGGCGCAUUCCCUAUGUAUCCUACUCAAAAUGGAUUGCUUUUUGUUCCUCUCACAUUUGAACUUCCUUUGGCACCUCAAAUACAAGAAGUUGAUGUAAUCCUCCAUAAAGCAACUGAUGAGAUCCUCAGCAUUGAGCCAGACUACUGUUUGGAUUUUCCAAAGGGAAUUUAUUUCUCCAGGGGAAUGCAAGAACUAGAAAGGUCUAUCCAGGACCAUCCAAAUUGUUGCUUAAUGGACCCACUUGACAAUAUAUACCCUUUACUUGAUCGCCAUAAGAUCCAACAAAUUCUUCUUGGAUUGCAGGAUCUCAAUGUCAAUGAUCGGUGUAGACUCCGGGCACCACAUUUUUUAAAGGUUGAUAUCUUUCAUGAUCCUAGUCUAAGGGAUCGACUAUUAGAAGCUAAUUUAUCCUUUCCAAUCAUUGUCAAACCACAAAUCGCAUGCGGGGUUGCGGAUGCUCAUAAUAUGGCAUUAGUAUUCAAGUUUGAAGAUUUUGUGGACCUUCCUGUUCCACUUCCAGCUAUUCUUCAGGAAUAUGUGGAUCAUGGGUCUUCAAUAUUUAAGUUUUAUGUGCUGGGAGACAAAGUAUUUCAUGCUGUUAAGAAGUCUAUGCCAAAUGCCAGUUUUCUAUUAUCAGCAUCAGAGAAAAAGGGUUCUGCACCGAUUAUUUUUAACAGUCUGAAGUCUCUUCCAGUUGCUACUGGGGACCAGUUCUCAGCAGGUGGGCCAAAGGCUGCUAAACUAUCUUUAGAUGUGGAACUAGUCAAUAAAGCUGCAAAACAGCUAAGAAGACAACUUGGUCUUACUAUUUUUGGAUUUGAUGUUGUUAUUCAAGAAGUCAGUGGAGACCAUGUCAUAGUGGACUUGAACUAUCUUCCCACUUUUAAGGAAGUCCCUGAUUCUGAUGCUGUUCCUGCAUUCUGGGAUGCAAUCAAGAGCACGUAUAAUUUGAGAAAGGCAAACUGAGUGGUAGCCAAUUGCUUUUGAUUGUGCUGAAAUUUAGUCUUUUUCAUCAUGGGUACUUGGGCCCCUUGCUGAAUUAUAAAAAACAAAGAUCGCCACUUAAAUUAACCAGCAGUUUUACCUUUCAAGCUUCUGGUGUCACUGAGUUGUGUAAGAAACUUGAUAAGAAUGAAUAUGAUGAACACUGUCAAGCAGCAAAAGUCCCAUGUAUAUUAGGAAAGUUUCAGCCGUAGAUCUUGUUCUUCAGUACAUCAUAUUGCUAUCAGCUAUCUGUUGCUGUAUAUGACAUUGUACAAGAAUGACAUCUCUAUCUACAAAAGUUUACAUUUGCAAUUUUUCUUGCCUGUUUGAGAGGUUGAAGUUGAAAAAGAAAUCACCAGCAUUAGCCAGAACCAGUCAUACCAUCCUAAGAGGGAAUCCACAUCAGGUGUCACAAUAACAUGCUUCUUGAUAUUGCUUAGAUUGCAGCUAUGCUCUUAACGUUGAUAGCUGAUGCAACAUGUUGGGUAAAUUUGAUUUCUGCACAUGGAGAAACCUGCAAAGCAAAUAAUCAACAGUAGAAAAAAAAUUAUUGGGAUUAUUGAAGAUGACAAGCAGAGGAGCAAACAUAACAAUCCGAGCUUCAGAAUCAAGAUGUGUUCUUCGUGAAAUUACAAGCUUGAAACCAGGAGUUCCUCAUGCAGUACUAGCAUAUAAACACAGCUUGCAUGAGGGUUCACCAGUAACUACUAUUUCCAAAAGAUAUAUUUCUAUAGUUAAUAUUGGUACUCUAUCCUAAGCUGCAGCCUCACAGCAGAGAAUUCUGGAGGCGUGAAGGAACUCAGCUUUGCUGUUGUUAAAUCUUAACAAAAUUUCCUGUCCAAUCACAAACAUCACCUAUGCAGCGCUGGGAGGAUGGAUGCUUUGGAAUGCAAUAGUUCCCAGAUGCUAUUACUGACAAAUCUAUGCUGAAGAAUAAACAGCAUGAGCAGCAGCAGCAUUAGGCCGCUUUGCAACUGGAAGAGAUGAGGGCAUCUGAAAAAGGAGCAGAUAAACUUGGCCAAUUCUUCCUCGGCUCUUCCAAGGAGAAAUCUGAAAGCAGCGUUAAGUUCAGGUCUCUUCACUCUUUCAGGGUGCAUACGUUUUGAGAACUCACCGUCAUCUGUGUCGCCUGAAUCCAGAGGGAUGCCCUCAUUCUGCUGCUGGAAGUGUUAAACACAAACAAAAAGCGGAAUCACAUCCAUUUCUUCGCACCUAGCUACCUACACACUGAGCGGCAAAAAAGCAACAACAUAGAAGGGCAGAUAUUAGGAGGGUUAGAGGUCCAAUCACUCGCCGAUGGCUCAGCACAUUCCUUCUUUGAUGACAAGGCUAACAGAUUCCCACCAUCUGCAGGAGAGACAUCACGGCAUUCUAGGAUGGUCGGCAAGGACAGACCGGUAGAACGUUCAAAUCAGCAAAAUAUAGUACAUGAUAUCUAUUUCAAUUAACUAAUCUGAGAACAUUUCCUGUAUCUUGCGGCAUUCAAGUCUUGCUAAAGCUUUAGUUUUUGGGAAAAA